UUAAGCCUUAGUUAACUUAUCCCACAAGAUUGACAAGAGGGGUGGCAAAAAUGCUGAGUUACAGUUCUGCCGGCGUUCACAUAUUUGAUCUCCGGGGAAUUGGGUAAGAGAAUUACAAGGUGGAAAUCGAACCCUAAAGUUGAAAUUUCAGUAGCCAGAUGUGAAAUUAGUUGUUGAUAAAGCUCAAAUCAAUAUUUUAUGGAACAUCAAUUUCCGAAUCGCAACAGCUGUCUAAUUCAUACGUUAUCACCACUCACAAGCCUGAUAUGUUGUCAUGGAAAGGAACUGCAGAUGGUGGCUUAUGGUCAAGUCCGGCUAUCAAUUUCUGUCCAGAAACGUUUCUCCUAAUUCAGUGUGGUUGUAGAAAACAAUCUGGAAGAGUGCUGCACCAGAAAAGAUGCAAUAUCGACAUGUGCUGAUCUAAUGAUGAUAAGGUUCAUGCAAGAGAUACCUUAAGGCAGCGAAUCAGACUAACAGAACACUGUACCAACACCGACAACAUUGAUAUAUAAAGUUCGGAUUCCUUGAUGCUGUUCUUCAUUGUGGCUUCUGGCAUUGGAGAUAUUCUCUUUCUCUUUUAAGAUAUUUUCACUGUAAGUGAACGUGAGGGUCUCACAGUACAGAUUUCUGAAGCCUCGACAGAUCUUCGCCAUUAUGUCGAUUGUGUGUAAAUUUUUUUCAAGCGCAACAGUAUUGUCGUCCGUUGUUCUGACUAUCCUAGCUGUUGUCAUCUAUGCUAUAAGCCCCCCUAUGACUCAUGGGUUCUUGUGGUAACUUCUGUCCUAGUGUUAAGCUGAAUAUUAGUGAGCAUUUUUCUUGACUCAUUUGGUGGCAUAAUAUUUUGACAUGAUGGUGUCAAAUUUUCACGUGCAGGGUGUCAUUGCUUUACAUGUUGUCCCGGUGAUAGUAGUCGUUAUGAUAUAUGAAAUUUGUUCUAUACGUCAAGCUAGAGAUAGAGCAAGGAUUGUACCCGUUAACCACUUGAUUGAUUCUGAUGAACUUCAUCACUAUGUGCCUCCAUUAGAAACAUUUCCCACUAGAAGACGAUUGUCUGUCAAACUAGUGGGAUUUCAAACUGCCCAUAAAUAGUUUGAAAUAGAAUCGUCUUCUGGUGGGCAAUGCUUCUAAUGGAGGCACAUAGUGAUGAAGUUCAUCAGAAUCAAUCAAGUGGUUAACGGGUACAAUCCUUGCUCUAUCUCUAGCUUGACGUAUAGAACAAAUUUCAUAUAUCAUAACGACUACUAUCACCGGAACAACAUGUAAAGCAAUGACACCCUGCACGUGAAAAUUUGACACCAUCAUGUCAAAAUAAUGCCACCAAAUGAGUCAAGAAAAAUGCUCACUAAUAUGUUCAGCUUAAGUAAUGAUGAUCAAUGCCCAUCUAGCAGCUCGUGAAGAUGCCCUCAGCCCGACAAGGUUUCACUAAAAUGGGCAUAAAUUUUUACUCCAAGCUUGGAAUCAGACAAACUUGGUGGCAUUGGAAAGAAGACUCAGAUAUAAUUCGAUUGUGAUCCUAUAUCUUUUGUUGAUGCCGUUAAAGACCUGAACUGGCAGCAAGCCAUGGACGAAGAGAUUAGAUCAAUUGAAAAAAAUGAUACUUGAGAGUUGACAAAUCUUUAGAAAAUCAGAAAAUUAUUGGUGUCAAAUGGGUUUACAAAAUAAAGUUGAAGGAAAAUGGAGAGGUCAACAAGUUCAAAGCUCGCUUAGUAGCAAAAGGAUACAAGCAAGAAUAUGGUGUUGACUAUGUAGAAGUGUUUGCUCCCGUGCUCGGUUAGAUACCAUUAGAUUGGUGAUUGCUUUGGCUGCUCAAAAUGCUUGGAAAAUCUAUCAGUUGGACAUGAAAUAUGAACUUCAAGAAAAGGUAUUUAUCGAACAACCUACUGAUGGCUAUGUGAAAUUUGGUGGUGUGAAUAAAGUGCUUAGAUUCAAAAAAAAGGCUUUAUAUGGACUAAAACAAGCUCCAAGAGCUUGUUAUAGUCGCAUAGAUACUUAUUUUUCAAAGGAGGGAUUUCGGAAGUGUACAAAUGAACAUACUCUUUACAUAAAAAGAGAAGGUGCAGGGGUCUUAAUGGUGUGUUUAUAUGUAGAUGACUUAAUUUAUACCGGAAGUAAUGUGUCUAUGAUUGAAAAUUUUAAGAAGUCCAUGAUGGUUGUGUUUGACAUGUCAGAUUUGGGUAUGAUGCAUUAUUUCCUUGGUUUAGAAGUGAAUCAAUCUGCUGAUGGUAUUUUUGUUUCUCAAAAGAAAUAUGUGCAAGAUAGUCUGGACAGAUUCCAGAUAAAAAUAGCAACACUGUGAGCACACCAAUGGAGAAGGGUCUGAAGCUCGUCAAAGAACCUGAAGGGAGAAAAGUGGACAACAUUUUAUACAAGCAAAUCAUUGGAAGAUUGAUGUACUUGACAGCAACAAGGCCUAAUGUUAUGCACGCCGUAAGUCUCAUUAGCAGAUUCAUGGAGUGUCCAAAAAAAAUGCAUCUAUAAGCUGUCAAGAGGAUCCUGCGGUACUUUAAUGGUACCAGUGACAUUGGCAUACUUUAUCACAUGAGAGUAACUGGAGAUUUGGUUGGUUACACUGAUAGUGACUAUGUUGGGAACCUUGAAUGCAGGAAAAGUACAUUGGGAUAUGUUUUUAUAUUGAGCUCUGGAGUUAUUUCUUGGUCUUCAAAGAAGCAACCUAUUGUUACUUUGUCGACUACCGAAGCAGAGCAUGUAGCUGCAACAUCCAUGUGUUUGUCAGGCAGUUUGGCUGAGGAUUAUUCUUGAAGAACUUCAUUUUAAGCAGAAUAGACCAACACCAAUCUAUUGUGACAAUACUUCGGCGAUUAAUCUUUCAAAGGAUCUAGUUGAACAUGGAUGAAGUAAGCAUAUAGAUGUGAAGUAUCACUUCUUGCGUGAUCUGACUAAGGAUGCAAAGAUUAGUCUUAUUUAUUGUAAGAAGUGAAGAUCAGGUUGCAGAAAUGUUUGCAAAGCCCCUGAAAUCGGUGUCCUUUCUAAAGCUACGCGAUCAACUUGGUGUUUGCAAAUUAAACUGAAAAAUGUUUCAGUUUAAGGGAGGGAAUGUUAGCAACAUGAUCAGAUUUUGUUGCUUUUGUUUAGGAUUCAUUAAGUUGUUUCCUAGUCUUUAGCUAUAGGAGUAGUGGAGUCAGUUUUUAGAUUCAGAUUUAUUAGAAGAGUUAACAUGUUUUUUUUAUUUACUAAGUUUUCUAUUUAAGGGCUAUUGUAACGACGUAUUCUGAAGGGAUCAAUAAAGAGAAAAUUUCCAAA